AACAAUACCACCUUUAUAGGGUACCAACGUAGAUCUGAUGUAGGUAUAUCGAGGAACACGAAAUGCGAAAUGAAAAACUUCAGCCGUCAUCGCCGGUUCGGCGGGAUGUCCCACUGGACUUAUCGUUACAACGCCCAGGUUCACUGAGUCAUCCAAUUAACACUUCGGUACAUCGCCUGGGACUGAGUUAGAUAAACCGAAAUUGUCUUCGAUUACGCAUAAAGCAUUGAGUACGCUGGAUAUCGUUUUUAUUGAGCAAACCGUUGCCAACACAGCCACUGAAAGUAUCACUGGUUCGGAAAUCAAAAGUACGCGAUUUCAAAAAUGGUCUAGCAAGAAGAAAUUGUUUUUAUCCCAAAUUAUUUUUGCAGAUGUUAACAUCCAUGUUAGAUGACGAUAUGCCGAGAUGGAGCAAUACUACGACAGAGGCACUAAAGAAUUUCUUACAAUUUCCUAAACCUCCAUCAAGCUCAACAGUUCACCGUAACUAUAAACGGAAAACCUUUGCUGUUUCGACAGCCGUGGAACGACUGG